UUUCAACAUCACUUCCUCCAGAUCGUGAUGCGCACUUCGAAACCCUAGCACUGUAAUCCCCGGGUCCCUUCGGCUUCUCCCAUCUCCGAUGGACCGCCAUCAUCGCCGCCGAGCGCGAGGCCCCGCCCACCAUCUCCGUCGCAGUUCAUUAAUAGGAUGGAAGCGGUGGCAUAAGCUUUUUGAAGCCAAUAUCCAGAACACUAGUAUGGCAUCAGCUCUUAAAUCAACUUGCUUUGUUAAGCUUAGGAAACCCAUAUCUUGGUGGGUGUUUCGGUCUUCGCAACCACCAGGUGUUUCUGCCAAAAGAAGUACAAUGAUGGCUGCUUGUAGCACUGAAUUGACAAUUAGCAUAUCUGGGACAUUUCUAAAUUGAGAAGAAAAGGCAAGGUUAAGUCUCAAAAGAACUCCUACCCAGCGUAUUUCCUCUCUAUCCAGCUUGAGAGUAACGGGAAGAAUGUGAAAUCACUAAUGUUAUCAGAUUGUGGCAUGCCUUCCCAGUGUCUUUGACCUUUCAACCAAUGCACAAGCGUUGGAGGUGUUUUACUUGUGUGAUUCAGAUAUUGGGUAGAAUCUUUCAUAUGUUGGUGCUGUAGUAGUUUCGCCAAUGGUGAAGGUUGUUCUGCAAUCUAUUGCUAUAUUCUCAAACUAUAACCCAAUUCUGAAGUUCGGCUUUCAGAUGAUGUAGGGGUUCAUGGUAAUUUGCAAAGUCCCUCUUGCCUUCUAACUUGAAACACUUAAUUGAUGCACAACACAUUGGUUAAAUGUAUAACUUGAAAGAAAAUCAGUUUUUAUUUUCCCCCAUUCCCUGCCAAGAUCAGAAAACAGCAGAGUGUAUUCAGUUUUGCAUGUAGAUAUCAUGGCGUAGGCGAGAAUUGUCAUCAUGCCCUCAUUACUGGCACAAACUCAAUUGCAUGGUUAAGUUCUCAAACUUGUUUAGUUUUUCAUUAAAAUAUCAUUGAAAAAGAUACCAAGAGGAUGAUCACCAAUGGAUUGAAUGAAUACUAUAGUCUCAACAUUAUGAGCAAAAGCCAAAAGGUUAUUUUGGAAAUCUACCCUGAAACCUUUUUUUUGAAAAGUGACUCUUUGUGAUCCUACAGAAAGAGUGUGAAACCAUUUGGAUUUGGGUCAGGCUUGUGCUCCAGUUUAACCCUUAAUGAACUCACAAAGGCGUUUCUAGGAACAAGUCCAUUAGUUGCAUGGUAGAAAAACAAUUGGCUAACCAAUUUUUUUUUUUAACCCCCAUUUCUUCUCUCUCUCUCAAUCUGGUUUGGAAAGUCAUAUCCUCCAAGUUAACUCUAGAAUAAAAUUAAGAAAAAAAAAUCACAAUGUGCUUCAAGUUAACCCUUAAUGAACAGUAAACCCACUAAUGCGGAUGUAUCAACCCAAUUUGUAGAGAAUUUGCAGGUUAGAGGAGCUGGGGUUCGUUCGAAUUUACUUGGAGAGAGAGGGAGACACCGCUCAGCAUGGUUGUUGGAGCGAGAUCGAGGCUUGUUUGAGAAGAUCUUUGAUGAGGUGUAAGAUAAUAAUAUGGGCUGUGUUCUGAUGAACAUCGAGCUCAUCUUUUGGGUUGAUUCGAUGGGGAAUUGUUUUAUUAAGUUGAAUAAGUUGGGCAGUCUGCGAGGGUCUUUUUCCUCCUUAUCAAUUUCUUUUCUGUUUGUUGGAUUAGGAUAUGUUUGUGAACUUGGAAGUGUAUCUGAUUGGGACCUGGCUGAGGAUAAAGUACAAAAAUUUUAAUUAUCAUAUCUUGGCUUUUACAAGAAUACAAGGUUUCGCACAGUUUCUGUUUUUCUACUAGUCUUUUUAUCAAAUUCUUAAUCCCAUCCCCCAC